AGUCUUCUCUUUCCUGUUUUUGCCAGAAGACUUUUUGGAGACCUGGUUGCUAAAUAAGACCAGUCCUAACACAGAAAUCUUUGGCAACCAAAUGGCCAGAGGUGGUUCGUACAGUGUAGGCGUGUCUUCAGCCCGUGAAGGACCUAUUGCCACACCCAGAGUCUCUUUUCAGGUAUUUAAGGAAUUGGUCCAAGUCACUCACCUGCUCCACAAGGAACAAGCUUUGCUUUGCCAUUAGCGUGAGCUGCCUGAAUUGCAUGGCGGCUAUGUUUAAACUGAAGAUUUGACUGCAACAUUUUCACCUCCUGAACAUGGAAACCAUCUGGUAAAAAUGAGAUGUGCUGACACCUACAGUAGAUAUAGAGAAAUGCAAGUCACUGAAAGUCUGAUCCUUCAACAGACUCCCAGGUACAACCCUGCAACCUCCACUUCAUGAAACUGAAAUGCUACGAAGUCAGAACAGAUACAAGGAAAUACUUUACCAAGCAACUUUUGUUUGAUCUGUGGAACUCUGUGCCUCAUGACAUUGAAAAACCAAAUAGCUUAGUAAAGCCUUAUCUAUACCAAUUUCAUUUGAAGAGAGAUCUAAUUAUAUUGGUGCAAACACCUAAUGUAGACAACUUAAGGAUCAUGGUUGCCACUGCACUCGGCUGAAUGCCUUCUUGGAUCUUUUCUACUAACCAGCUCACAAGGCUGGUCCUCUGGUUUGGUCAUUGGAAUAAUGGAGGCAUCCCCACCUAAAAGAAAGAAAGUUACAUUAGCACUGGCCUGGAAAGAGAUUUCUGUUUGUCCUUGCCAUUUAAUGCAGACCCCUUCAUAGAUAGGGCAACCACCAUGCGUUUUUAAAGAUUUGAACUAAAAAAAAUGUACCUGAAGUACCAGGGAGAAUAAGCUCUUCAAAUGACACUGUACUGUACUUUAGUUAGACUUGAACGGAAUUCAGACAUGGUUUACAUUUAAUUCAAGGAGCCCUCACACGCCUCCAGCAAUGGACCUCAUGCCUAUCCUGAAGGAACCAACUCCAUUUCACAAGAGAUGACCUUCGGAGCCCAGCUUCCCUCUGUUAUUGGCGGCAGAAUGGCUGUGCAGAAUUAGAAAGCGGCCAAGAAGAACUAAGGAGGACUGUGUGAGGUUAUGAUGUACUCUGCUGCCGAAAAACAGGAAUUGAAGGAGUGGUGGGACAGUGAGAAGAGGGACUGAAAGGAGAACACAGCAUGCCAGAAAGAAGCCACAGAGCGGCUCUUAAAUGUUAUUGAGUGCCAAGAAGACAUGCUCCAGGCAAUACUAGCUCUUCAAACUGAGCAGCUAUGCACCCACCCUCCUCUGCAGCUGCUGUCACAAAAUUCUUUCCCAUGCGCCCCACAGACACCGCCAACACACUCUUAUCAACCUCCUGGCUCCAGUCUCUACCAGCAGCAUUCCACUCCUCCCUCCUCACAGUC